AAGUAUUUAAGAAUAAUUAAAUAAUCGAGAAAAAUGUCAGAAAUGAGUGGGUUAGUCGAGGGGAUCCAAACUAACGACCAGACACCAAAACAGAUUGGUUUUCUGCGAUCACUUCAUCAACGGAUGCUGUUAUACCUCCAAUAUUAUAGACGAGGAGAAAAAUGCGAAUAUGUCCUAUGAGACUAUUGCCUUGUUUUAGAAAAACACAAAUUGUUCACGAGUUGUACCCCAGACACAUUGCAAUAACUCAGACCUCUAAAAGCCUUUUUCAAGGUUUAUUUCACCCAUUGCUUACCUUUGAUCAGAUCAUUAGCAUUAGCAUCUAAGAGGUGGCAAAAAAUAAGCUAUGUAAUGCAAGGCAAAUGUUUAAUCUAAGAGCUUGAAUCAAUAAGUAAUUUAUUUUAAAAUUGAGUUUCAUAGCAAUUAAUAUCCAGGAAAAUAAUCCCCAAUUGAUGGUAUUUUGUUUGCUUCUGGUGGUAGAGGACUGUCAGUUACCAUGAUCACUAUACCAAUCCUGGUUAACACUAGUUAGUUUGUGAUAUAAAAAAAACACAACAAA